rnacentral:tRNA from 1 species
GCACCAGUAGCUUAAAUUAGAGCGCCGGCCUUGUAAGCCGGAGGUUGGAGGUUAGACUCCUCCCUUGUGCUC